GAUGAACGCUGGCGGCGUGCCUAAUACAUGCAAGUCGAGCGAACAGACGAGGAGCUUGCCCCUCUGACGUUAGCGGCGGACGGGUGAGUAACACGUGGAUAACCUACCUAUAAGACUGGGAUAACUUCGGGAAACCGGAGCUAAUACCGGAUAAUAUAUUGAACCGCAUGGUUCAAUAGUGAAAGACGGUUUUGCUGUCACUUAUAGAUGGAUCCGCGCCGCAUUAGCUAGUUGGUAAGGUAACGGCUUACCAAGGCGACGAUGCGUAGCCAACCUGAGAGGGUGAUCGGCCACACUGGAACUGAGACACGGUCCAGACUCCUACGGGAGGCAGCAGUAGGGAAUCUUCCGCAAUGGGCGAAAGCCUGACGGAGCAACGCCGCGUGAGUGAUGAAGGUCUUCGGAUCGUAAAACUCUGUUAUUAGGGAAGAACAAAUGUGUAAGUAACUAUGCACGUCUUGACGGUACCUAAUCAGAAAGCCACGGCUAACUACGUG
rnacentral:rRNA from 1 species